rnacentral:lncRNA from 1 species
UAGAGAGGCUAUAUACAGUAGAGAGGCUAUAUACAGUAGAGAGGCUAUAUACAGUAGAGAGGCUACAUACAGUAGAGAGGCUAUAUACAGUAGAGAGGCUAUAUACAGUAGAGAGGCUAUAUACAGUAGAGAGGCUAUAUACAGUAGAGAAGCUAUAUACAGUAGAGAGGCUAUAUACAGUAGAGAGGCUAUAUACAGUAGAGAGGCUAUAUACAGUAGAGAGGUUAUAUACAGUAGAGAGGCUAUAUACAGUAGAGAGGCUAUAUACAGUAGAGAGGCUAUAUACAGUAGAGAGGCUAUAUACAGUAGAGGUUAUAUACAGUAGAGAGGCUAUAUACAGUAGAGAGGCUACAUACAGUAGAGAGGCUACAUACAGUAGAGAGGCUAUAUACAGUAGAGAGGCUACAUACAGUAGAGAGGCUAUAUACAGUAGAGAGGCUAUAUACAGUAGAGAG